rnacentral:lncRNA from 1 species
UGAUGGUGUCUAUUCUGUCGGUAAUUGCUGAUUGAGGUCUGAUUGCACCUUUUUGUUGAUUACGUGUACUUGUUGUAUCUUUUUCUUACUCUGAUGUGCUUUGAUGUUUAUAGAUAUCUUACUUGGAUCAUGACUUACAUGAGUGAAAAUAAUUUGCUGGCAUUUAUACAUAAGACUUGAUCGCUGAAGAACUGGUUAUAUGUGAAUCAUGACC